UUUUGGCUAUAUUUGUAUCAGUGAGGUUGGUAGUCCGGUUGUUUACACCAGUUGUGUUGCUUUUAUCCAGGUUCUUUACAAGUUAGCUUGAGUAGGUUAUUUAGUUUAUUCUUUUAAGUGCUUUGUUUCAUUUGGGCCUAUGGCUCAGUAGAUCGUGGCCUGAUCACCCACCGAUCCUAGUCUUUGAGUCCCAAGAAACUUUCUAUAUAAAUUAAGGUGUGCCUAUAAAAACAUAUUAAGUAAAAGUAAUGUAAUAACAGGUUUGUGCACAUAAAAAUAAAAUAUAAAAAAAAACCAUGGUACCUAGUUUUAAGUUGUCGCGACAAGUCUUAAUUGUUUGUAUGUUAGUUUUGGGGAAGUAAGUUUGAUUGUAGGGUUUUCCUAGUUUGAAUUUUCAUGUGGUUAGUAGUUUGCAUUUGGGGUAUGUAUUUUCGUAUUUUUUUUUUUUUUUGGCGAGUCAUUUGUUAUCUUCAUGUUUUAUUUUCAUGAGUUCUCGUGUUCUUCAUUGCACGUAAUUUAAGGUUGGGUGUAACAACUAGAUUAAUUUCUACACUGAUAUUUUUUGUUUUAGUUAACCAUGUAAGAUUGAGGUUAUGUUUGGUAAUUUUCGUUUAAUUUGUCGCAAGUUGUUUUAGAGUUUUAAAAGUUAUAUUCCUUUUAACCAAUAAAAUUGUCGUGGUUUUAAUUUCAUUAUUUGCACAUUCUUUAUUAAUAUAAUUUUAAAAGGUAUUUGAAUUAAAUAUUGUCGCAAGUUUUGUUCGUGAGAGAAUUGUUUGAGCAUUAUUUCUCGUUUUCAUAAUAUUUCAAUGUUUCUGAUUUUUUUUGCAGAUUGCCAUAAGUUGAGAAGUCUGUGGUUUCUUCAGUGAAUAUUUAAUUGAUGUGAUGUUUGUUUACUUUUCGUGUAUCACCAUUUGGGGCACGUUUUUCAUAAUCUAACCAUGAUAGGUAUAUUUUCUUGUUUUGUUGCCAUCGUUUAAUAAGUUCUUUUUUUAGCAGGUGGUUUUAAUCAUUUUAAUGUUGUUUCCUUGCCCAUGUUUUGUUGUAGGUCAUCUUGGGUAUGUAUUUUAUCUAAUUUCUUUUAAGAGACAUUUUGCCGUUUUCCUAAUGAGUUCAUUUAAUGUGUGUUCUAGUGCUUUUCAUUGCACGAUUUAAUAAUUGAAGUGAUGAAGUUGUUUAAUAAGUAUUUAAUCUGCAGUAUCUUUGAAUCAAGUAUUUGAGUAACAUUUUUUAGGUUGUGUUUGAUCUUCAUUUAAAUUUUUUUCUCUUGAGCCUAUUAAUAUUUUUUUUGCUUUAUUUAAAUUUCACUAUUUUAUUUUAUUUCUAAUUAUUUUGUUUCAGUGAGAUGCAGUUAAAGGUUAGUGGAUUUCUUGUUAGAAUUUUGUCGUUUUCUCUUUUAAAACUUUUCAUUAAGCACUAUUAUAAAGGUUUUAUAGUUUUAAUGUAUGUAUGCAAUUUUCUAUUGUGGGAGUAAGAGACUUCCAGACGAUAUUUGGGUUGUGUUUUUAAUUGUGUUGUUGACUUUGGUCAAGUUUAGCCAGAGAGCAAACUUUUUAUUUUAGGCAGGUCCUCUGAGCCAGAGCCAUGAGCCAGUGCCAAGUCCUGUUGAGAAGUGUUUAGGCUUCACCAGCACUUUUCAUUUUUGCAGGCCUCAGUCUUUUUUUUAUCAAACCAUAUAUCUACCAUGGAAGAUCCAAUCACUCAUUUUUAAUAAUAGUUUCAUUUUAGUUUAAUAACGUUUUGUGAUUUUAUUUGUUUUUAAAUAAUAAUUAAUUUUUUUUGUGCUAACUUUGAUUAAUUGCUUUUCUGUUUUGUUUGUCUUGCUAGUGUCAUCUUUUAAGAUAAAAUUUUAAUAAAUCCGUUUUGUUUCUUGUCUUGUCAUCCAAAACAUAUACUUUUUUUUUGAUAUUUCUGUUUUGUAGGUUAUGUGUGUUAGUUCAUGUGGGGAUGUGGUGUGUUGUGUGUUUUACACAGCUCCACACGACACAGCUAUUCCACAUGUGUUCCACACUUUACACCGUGUAGUGUCAUCUAUUUAAUCAUUUUUUUAAAUUUGUGUUUAACAUUUUUUUUAACUUAGAUACUGUUCUUGUUUUUGAUUUGUGUACUAGGGUUGUUGCUGUAUGACAUCUCUCAGGUGGGGUGUCUGCUGCAUGGAGUUUGCUAGGGUGGUUGCAGUUUCGGCUCGGUGUUGCUGCGACUCACCGUUUCAGCCAUCUCUGGUGAAUUUCAUGUAGUGGAGUUCUGCUGGGUGGGAUUGUCUUAUAGUGACACAUGCUUCAUUGUAAGGUAUGGUUUCAACUGAUUUCUUCUCAAAAAAUUUUUUCCUCUUAAUAAAUUGCAGGCAGUUCUUUUGUUAUUCACUUCACCUUUGCUGAAUCUUAACUUUGUUCAUGUUAUAUUUUGUGUUAGUGGUCAAGCUUGCUUUUGCAGGUACUAAAUUAUUUCUUGAGUGUCUAAGGUAUGGGACUUAGUCAUUCACCUUUGGACGACCGUUUUCUCUCUGUUUAUUUUCAAUUUUGUGUUGUCGCUGAAUAAGCAUUUUAAAGACUUUUGUUUUCCUUUUGUUUGGGCUCAUGUUUAUCUUCAUGUGUUGUUUAAGCUGCAGUCUUCAGAGCGGUAUCAUAAUAUCAGGAUCUUACUAACUAGAAUUUAAGUAGGGGUAAAGAAUCCCCAAGUUUUUUUUUUAUAAUAAGAAGGGGUAGAGAAUCCCCAAUUUUGUUAAUAUGGAGGAGGUAGGAGAACCCCCCCCCAUUAAGCUGAAUAAGUAGGAGGUAAAGAGUCCCCACUAUUCUGAAUAAGCCGACGGGCAUUUUAUAUGAGGUAUGGUCCUCUUUUAAAUAUAUAGUAUGUAACUGGUUGUCCUGGGUACUUGUACCACCAUUCUGUCCUGUUUGUUCUACAAUCACACAUUGAAAAUAUUUUUGUAUUUUGGUAUUUUGAUCUUCGAUUAAUUUAUUCUUUAGCUUUGAGAUUUUUCUCUCGCAGGUAUGUGAGCAUCCUACGUUCAGCUAAUUGAUGUUGAUGUCGAGACCAAGUUUUCUAUGGAAUUUUCUUGAGCGAGCAUUUAAAUAAUUUUUUAUAAGAAGGGAUGAGUGGUCCCCAGUUUAUAUAAUAAUUGUAAGAAGAGGUGAAUAUUUCUCAUUGAGUAUUGAGUUUGUAAGGAUAAUAUUUUGUUGUUUCUCAGUAUAUAUAUAUAGGCUUUAUGCUCGUGUCUGUGGUGUUUGUUUCUUCAGCAGUAUAAUCAUUUAAUUUCUUGUUUUCUAUAUCUAAUACAGUCUUUGUAGUUUUGACAUCAUUAAUUACUAUGCCUCUUUUGUUUUAAUGGCAACUUUUUAAUAUAUAUAUAUUUAAAAUUUUAAAUACAUAAAAAUAAUAUAAAUAAAAAUAAAUAAAUAAUAUAAAACUAAUAAUACAUAAUAUUUUAAGAAAGUAGCGUCUGCUUUGAGGGGGGGAGUGUGUGCCAUUGUAAUGUGGUGGCACUUCCUCAACUAAUUUAUUUAUAAUUAUUUUUCUUUUUUUUUGGGCGAACUGGUUUCUACACGUUUUCAGUAUUCUAUAUUGGUAUUUAUUAAUGGUAAUGUGUUAUUUAAAUAUUUAAAAGUUAAUUCUGAACGAAGUUGUAAUAAUUAUAAUUAUGUGUCAUUUAAAUGUUUGAACACAUCAAUUUUUUUUUUAUUGUGUCAAUGUAUUUUUUUGAAUCUAUUAUGAAUAAUGUGUUUACAAUUUAAUUAUUAUAGUAAAUAUGUGAAGGUAUAUUUAAGAAAUUAUAAGUCAAUCAUUUUUGUAAUAGAAUUAAUGCUCCAGAAAUAAUCGAACUUUUGUUGUUGUAAAAAAGGGUACUCUCUACGAGUGCUAUGUUCAAUGUCCUUCUUCGUCUUGCACUUACAGACCACAAACGGUCUUUUCCAGCACCUUGACGCCAUGUUGUAGUAACUCCAAAAUUCUUUCUUGGGUGAUUUUAAGCUUUUAAGAUGCAUUAAGCAUCUUCAACCGCACUAAGUGCGGUUCCACGAUACCGGCCAUGCGGUAAACUUGAACCAACUUGUGCUGUGGUGUUGGGGGCCUGUCCCCGGCAGCCCGGAAGCAAAAUGAAGUGACCGCACCUAAUUCAGGAAAGCCGACGACUAUUUUAUUAUUUUUGGCAUGAAUUACUAACCUUUUUUUAAUCAACUCUACCUAUGUGAAAAUUUCGUGGACUUAACCUCAUCGGACUUCUCGUCAAACUUGUCUUCUCUUCUAUUUUAAAGAAAUUUAUUUGAACCAACGCAACAUUUUAUUUAAUAUAUAAUUUUCAAGCAACGAAAUAAUGUAACAUGGACUAAAGAUAUUUUGAUAAACAAACAAAAAAAAAUAUGUUUUGUAAGAAAUUCAUCAUGUAAUAAUUGUAAGACAAUUUUAAUUUUUUUUUUCUGUGGGGCCCUAGAUAAGAUAAAACUUAAAUAUAAUAAAAUCAGUAUUAUGUUAACGAAAUAAUUUAAAAUCCAAGUGAUAUUACAAAAAAGUCAGGGUGUAAUUUAAAAUAAUUUAUACAAAUAAAUUAUUUAUCUGAAACUGUCCUUUUUUUUAUCAUUAAGUAAUACUCUAAUGGUGUAUUGUGAGUGUGCAUGACCAGUCAGCCCUGUUGAUACUCUAACUAACCCCUCCGCACAUCAAAACACUUCAUGAGCCUUGGUCCACGAGCUUUCAGCAUCCGCCUACCUCUGUUCAUAACCUCAAAAAUUUGUGAAGGGAGGUAAGGUGUGGUGCAGAAUAAUCAGGUGCACCCGGAGAAAACUACCAUAAUAUUGACAAGAAUAAUCAGGAGCACACGGAGAAAUCCACCAUAAUAUUGAUGGAAAUGUACUCUAUAAUACAAGUGCACACACAAGAUGGCGUACUCCAGCAGGUGGUAGCUCCUGGUAGCAUGUACUGAACAUAAAAUGUCGGAUCCAUGAUGGUCGACAAGGACAAAGUCAAAUUUCAAGGACAAAGUCAAAUUUCAAGGUCAAUGUCAAAUUUCAAGGUCAAUGUAAAAUUUCAAGGUCAAGGUCAAAUUUCAAGGUCAUGGUCAAAUUUCAAGGUCAAGGUCAAAUUUCAAGGUCAAGAUCAAAUUUCAAGUUCAAGGUCAAAUUUCAAGGUCAAGGUCUAAGUCAUAUUACAAGGUCAAGGUCAAAUUUCUUGGUUAAGGACAAAGUUCAGUGUCUACAGUUGAGGACAAAGUUAUGGUGACCAGAUAAUUAUACUAACAUGGUAUCGGUACACUCUAGCAGACGAAAGCAAGAUGGUGGUCUCCAGCGGAUGAAGACAAGAUGGUGGACAUGUCGUGUUACCAGCUGAUGAUAUAUGUACCUUGGUAUUGUUGGUGGUAUAUCAGUCUAGGUAGCUUUCAUGGAGGAAGGAUCGGCCGUUUACUCUCGCCGGGAAUCGAACCAAGGACAUAAAUCGAUCUAAUCAAAUGGAUUUCAAAUAAAUUAAUUUUUUGAUGAAUUUUGGAAUUUUUUCAUUUAAAUUUGAUAAUAAAUAAAGGUUUUUUAAGAUGGCGUCCAAAUUUCAAGAUGGCGGACGUGACGUCAUACUAGGUGACGAUAUAUAUGCUUUGAAAAAAAGUGGUGGUAGUCAGUCUGCAUGCAGCCACCAUUGAGGAAGGAGCCUGUAGCUAUUUUUAAUUUUUUUUUGUCUUUGUCGGGUUCGAACCAAGGACUCCGAACUCCGUGUUGUAAAUGUUUGUUUUUUUUUAAAAAAAUUAUGAAUAUUUUAUAAAUUAAUUUUUUUAUAAAUUUUUAAUUUUUUUUAUUAAAAUCGGAUAAUAAAUAAAGAUUUUAAAGAUGGCGAUCGUAACGGAAACUGCAACGAUGGCGUCAUAUCUCAAAAUGGCGGUCAUGGUAUCCUUAUUCCUAGAAAUGGCUUAUCGGAGGCUGUAGACAUGGAUGCUUAAGCCAGUUUUAGGAAUUUUCAGCUGCUGGGAUUUUUUAUGGACUAAAACGGGAAAUUUUUCCCUCGAAAAGAAAAAUUUUUAAUUUGUGGAAUUUUUUGAGAAUUUUUGGCGUAAUUUUUUUCCUAAGAAAUGUAAAUUUUGGCGAGUUUUGAGGAAUUUUGGGCAAUAUUUGCCCAAUUUUGACGAAUUUUGAGGGUCAACCGUCAAUGUCCUACUUGUCCUGUUACACUGUGUCCCGUUACACUCAUCCAAGAUGGCCGCCGUGACGUCACAGAUGGACGUGACGUCGGAGAUGUGGCUCGGCACCCGGCACCACACCCAGAACCCUGUUUCAGGACCGGUUAUCCUAUACUACUAUCACAUUUUAGUUUUAUUGUUACUAGUCCUUUAUUUUCGAAGAUACACCAGGGAACUUCUCAAAAUUAAAUAUAAAACGAAUAGAGAUUGUGGUAUUGAUAGGAGUAGUAUACGAAUGUAUGUUCUGCGGCAGGCUUUAAGGCUGUGGAUUGUGAUUGUCGGUAUGCCAUAUUGAAUUGUGACGUCACGGCGGCCAUCUUGGAUGACCUUGACCUUAACCGUUGACCUUGACCUUGUCCCCGACGGCCAUUUUGUAUCCGCCAUCUUGGAUCUGCCAUUUUGGAUGAUGUCAUUAUGUUCUAGAAAAUUCCGGCGAUGUGUUAUCCGCCAUUUUGAAUGAUGACGUCACCGUUACAAUUUUCGUUACGGCCGCCAUCUUUAAAAUCUUUAUUUAUUAUCCGAUUUUAAUGAAAAUUUUUUUAAAAUUUAUAAAAAAAUUCACUUAAGAAAAUUUUAAUAAAAAAUAUAUAAAAAACAAACAUUUACGACACGGAGCACCAGGGGCGUAUCCUGACAAAUUUGGUAACGCAUGCAAUAUAGAAUACAUCCAAACCCCCCCCACCCCCCCGGAAGAAGGGGGGUCCGGGGGCCCUCUCCCGGAAAAUUUUGGUUUUCAGGGAGCAAAAUGGUGCUGUUUAGGCAGUUUUUAAAAAAAAUAAUUAAACAUAAAACUGGUAACAACAUUAAAUUUUUUGUGAUAAACUUAAAGAGAAGAAUUAACAAAGAUAUCAAAUUGUCACUCACCAUGUAUUUACUUAUAAUGGAACUCGGCUCUGCGGUUUUUCCUGCAGAACUGCUCCGUGACUUCGUCGAAAAACGAGUUGCGGGCUUUCAUCUGCACCAACAGAUCUUUUUCUAUGGACAUGAUGGAGAGUGCAGACAAACGACUUUGUCCUUGCGCAUUUCUUGUGAAUGAUUUUAUUCGUCUUAGUGCAGAAAACGAACGUUCUACGGAUGACGAUGUAGCAGGAAUAGUUGAAACCAUUACACACAGUUUAUAGAGUUCUGGAA